GGAGGGAUGGCUGAGCGGUUGAAAGCACUGGUCUUGAAAACCAGCGUGGGUUAAUAGCCCACCCAGGGUUCGAAUCCCUGUCCCUCCGCCA
rnacentral:tRNA from 3 species